AUAAAAUAAUUAUGUUUUUGGAAAUUUAUUAUAAAUUUAUUUUACAUAUAAAUUUUAGUAUGUAAUUUUAAUUAUUUAAAUAAUAAUUAAUUUAAUUUAGUAGUAAUUAAUAUUAAAAAUUUAAGAAAUUAAGAUUUAGUAAUAUAAAAAUUGAUAACUAAUUUUGUGCCAGCAGUUGCGGUUAAACAAAAGUUAAAUUAAAUUGUUUUAGUUUAUAAUAAAUAAUUAAAUUAUUAAAUUAAAUAUUAAAUUAUUAAGUGAAAUUUUAAUUUAAUUAAAUUUUAUUUAAAAAUUAUGAUUUAAUAAAUUUUAAUAUAAACUAGGAUUAGAUACCCUAUUAUUAAAAAUUUAAUUUAUAAUACUAAAAUAGUAAAUAAUAAUUUAUUGAAACUUAAAUAAUAUGGCGGUAUUUUAGUUCAUUUAGAGGAAUCUGUCUAAUAAUUGAUAAUCCACGAAUAAAUUUACUUAAUUUAUAAUUUUGUAUAUCAUUGUUAAAAAAAUAUUUUUUAGGAAAAAUAAUAUUUAAAAAUUAAAAUUAAAAAUUAAAUCAGAUCAAGAUGCAGAAUAUAAUUAAGAAUAUGAUGGAUUACAUUAAAUAUAUUUUAAUGGAUAAUUUUAUUGUAAUAAAAAUUUGAAGGUGGAUUUAAAUGUAAUUUUAAUUAGUUUAUUAAAAUGAUUAAAAAUUAAAAUAUGUACAUAUUGCCCGUCACUUUCAUUUAAAAAUUGAAAUAAGUCGUAACAAAGUAGAGGUACUGGAAAGUGUUUCUAGAAAGA
rnacentral:ncRNA from 1 species